rnacentral:ncRNA from 1 species
AUGUAUAGGGUGUGUGGAGGGAACGCGGGGAAGUGAAACAUCUCAGUACCCGCAGGAAGAGAAAACAAUAGUGAUUCCGGGAGUAGUGGCGAGCGAAACCGGAUGAGGCUAAACCGUAUGUGUGUGAGACCCGGCAGGGGUUGCAUGUGCGGGGUUGUGGGACGGGACUUCGGUCGUCUGCCGGCGGCUGGGUGAGUUAGAAACCAUUGCGAUAGGCGAAGGGCAUGCGAAAGGCCCGGCGUAGAGGGUAAGACCCCCGUAGCUGAAAUUGUGGUGGCUCACUUGUUCUGUUUCCCGAGUAGCAUGGGGCCCGUGAAAUCCUGUGUGAAUCUGGCGGGACCACCCGUCAAGCCUAAAUAUUCCCUGGUGACCGAUAGCGGAUAGUACCGUGAGGGAAUGGUGAAAAGUACCGCGGGAGCGGAGUGAAAGAGUACCUGAAACCGUGUGCCUACAAGCCGUGGGAGCGUCGCCGUGUGUGCUUGCACAUGCGGUCGUGACUGCGUGCCUUUUGAAGAAUGAGCCUGCGAGUUUGCGGCAUGUUGCGAGGUUAACCCGUGUGGGGGAGCCGUAGCGAAAGCGAGUCCGAAGAGGGCGGUCUGAGUAGCGUGUUCAAGACCCGAAGCGGAGUGAUCUAGCCAUGGGCAGGGUGAAGCGGAGGUAAGACUUCGUGGAGGCCCGAACCCACCAGGGUUGAAAACCUGGGGGAUGACCUGUGGUUAGGGGUGAAAGGCCAAUCAAACUCCGUGAUAGCUGGUUCUCCCCGAAAUGCAUUUAGGUGCAGCGUCGUGUGUUUCUUGCCGGAGGUAGAGCACUGGAUAGGCGAUGGGCCCUACCGGGUUACUGACCUUAGCCAAACUCCGAAUGCCGGUAAGUGAGAGCGCGGCAGUGAGACUGUGGGGGAUAAGCUCCAUGGUCGAGAGGGAAACAGCCCAGAGCAUCGACUAAGGCCCCUAAGCGUGUGCUAAGUGGGAAAGGAUGUGGAGUCGCAGAGACAA